UCCUCUGUGAAGUUCAGUUAAAGGCCGGUAGAACGGCGGACUGUUAAUCCGUAUGUCACUGGUUCGGAGUCCAGCCAGAGGGA
rnacentral:tRNA from 1 species